rnacentral:rRNA from 1 species
CGGAGGAUGCAAGCGUUAUCCGGAUUUAUUGGGUUUAAAGGGUGCGUAGGCUGUUUGACAAGUCAGCGGUGAAAGCCCGGCGCUUAACGCCGGAACUGCCAUUGAUACUGUCGAGCUGGAAUACGGAUGCCGUGGGAGGAAUGAGUAGUGUAGCGGUGAAAUGCAUAGAUAUUACUCAGAACACCGAUUGCGAAGGCAUCUCACGAAUCCGUCAUUGACGCUGAGGCACGAAAGCGUGGGAUCAAACAGGAUU